rnacentral:rRNA from 1 species
GAGCUAAUACAUGCUAAAAACCUCGACUUCGGAAGGGGUGUAUUUAUUAGAUAAAAAACCAAUGCCCUUCGGGGCUGCUUGGUGAUUCAUAAUAACUUAACGAAUCGCAUGGCCUUGCGCCGGCGAUGGUUCAUUCAAAUUUCUGCCCUAUCAACUUUCGAUGGUAAGGUAGUGGCUUACCAUGGUCUCAACGGGUAACGGGGAAUUAGGGUUCUAUUCCGGAGAGGGAGCCUGAGAAACGGCUACCACAUCCAAGGAAGGCAGCAGGCGCGCAAAUUACCCAAUACUAAUUCAGUGAGGUAGUGACAAUAAAUACUGAUACGGGGCUCUUUCGGGUCUCGUAAUUGGAAUGAGUACAAUCUAAAUCCCUUAACGAGGAACAAUUGGAGGGCAAGUCUGGUGCCAGCAGCCGCGGUAAUUCCAGCUCCAAUAGCGUAUAUUAAAGUUGUUGCCGUUAAAAAGCUCGUAGUUGAACCUUGGACCUGGCUGAUCUGUCCUCCUAAUCGAGCGUACGGAUUCGGUCGGGUCUUUUCUUCUGGGGAGCCUUAUGCCCUUCACUGGGUGUAAUGGGGAACCAGGACUUUUACCUUGAAAAAAUUAGAGUGUUCAAAGCAGGCCUUUGCUCGAAUACAUUAGCAUGGAAUAAUAGAAUAGGACAUCGGUUCUAUUUUGUUGGUUUCUAGGACCGCUGUAAUGAUUAAUAGGGAUAGUCGGGGGCGUCCGUAUUCAAUUGUCAGAGGUGAAAUUCUUGGAUUUAUUGAAGACGAACUACUGCGAAAGCAUUCGCCAAGGAUGUUUUCAUUAAUCAGUGAACGAAAGUUAGGGGAUCGAAGACGAUCAGAUACCGUCGUAGUCUUAACCAUAAACUAUGCCGACUAGGGAUCGGACGGUGGUUUUUUUAUGCCCCGUUCGGCACCUUACGAGAAAUCAAAGUGUUUGGGCUCGGGGGGGAGUAUGGUCGCAAGGCUGAAACUUAAAGAAAUUGACGGAAGGGCACCACAAGGCGUGGAGCCUGCGGCUUAAUUUGACUCAACACGGGGAAACUCACCAGGUCCAGACAUGCUUAGGAUUGACAGAUUGAUAGCUCUUUCUUGAUUGUAUGGGUGGUGGUGCAUGGCCGUUCUUAGUUGGUGGAGUGAUUUGUCUGCCUAAUCGCGAUAACGAACGAGACCUUGACCUGCUAAAUAGCCCGAUUGACUUUUGUCGGUCGCUGGCUUCUUAGAGGGACUUUUGGCUCAAGCCAAUGGAAGUACGAGGCAAUAACAGGUCUGUGAUGCCCUUAGAUGUUCUGGGCUGCACGCGCGCUACACUGACAGAGCCAGCGAGUACAUCACCUUGGCCGAAAGGUCUGGGUAAUCUUGUUAAACUCUGUCGUGCUGGGGAUAGAGCAUUGCAAUUAUUGCUCUUCAACGAGGAAUGCCUAGUAAGCGCAAGUCAUCAGCUUGCGUUGAUUACGUCCCUGCCCUUUGUACACACCGCCCGUCGCUACUACCGAUUGAAUGGCUCAGUGAGGCCUUGGGACUGGCUCAGAAAGGUCGGCAACGACCAUUCAGAGCCGGAAACUUGGUCAAACUUGGUCAUUUAGAGGAAGUAAAAGUCGUA